CAGACCUCAAGGUGUCCAUUCUCCUGGACUUCACACGAGGCUCUCGAGGUAGGGCUGACACUCUCCCCGGCCCUGAUUCUCCCUCUUUCAGAGCCUCCGUUUUAGGAAUUACACUGUUG